rnacentral:tRNA from 1 species
AAUUAAUUAACUUAUUAAACUUUUAAUUUAAUGUAUUUUUA